GACGAACGCUGGCGGCGUGCUUAACACAUGCAAGUCGAACGGAAAGGCCCUGCAUUUGUGGGGUGCUCGAGUGGCGAACGGGUGAGUAACACGUGAGUAACCUGCCCUUGACUUUGGGAUAACUUCAGGAAACUGGGGCUAAUACCGGAUAGGAGCUCCUGCUGCAUGGUGGGGGUUGGAAAGUUUCGGCGGUUGGGGAUGGACUCGCGGCUUAUCAGCUUGUUGGUGGGGUAGUGGCUUACCAAGGCUUUGACGGGUAGCCGGCCUGAGAGGGUGAACGGCCACAUUGGGACUGAGAUACGGCCCAGACUCCUACGGGAGGCAGCAGUGGGGAAUAUUGCACAAUGGGCGGAAGCCUGAUGCAGCAACGCCGCGUGCGGGAUGACGGCCUUCGGGUUGUAAACCGCUUUCGCCUGUGACGAAGCGUGAGUGACGGUAAUGGGUAAAGAAGCACCGGCUAACUACGUG
rnacentral:rRNA from 1 species